rnacentral:rRNA from 1 species
UGGCGGACGGGUGAGGAAUGUCUGGGAAACUGCCCGAUGGAGGGGGAUAACUACUGGAAACGGUAGCUAAUACCGCAUAACGUCGCAAGACCAAAGAGGGGGACCUUCGGGCCUCUUGCCAUCGGAUGUGCCCAGAUGGGAUUAGCUAGUAGGUGGGGUAACGGCUCACCUAGGCGACGAUCCCUAGCUGGUCUGAGAGGAUGACCAGCCACACUGGAACUGAGACACGGUCCAG